UACACACCGCCCGUCACACCAUGGGAGUUGGUUCUACCUGAAGACGGUGCGCUAACCGCAAGGAGGCAGCCGGCCACGGUAGGGUCAGUGACUGGGGUG
rnacentral:rRNA from 1 species